GUGCUUGCUCUGGCAGCACCUGUAUUAAAGUUGCAACGACACAGAGAAGAUUAGGUGGCCCCUGUGUGAGGAUAACAUUCAAAUUUGUGAAGCAUUCCAUAUUUUU
ensembl:snRNA U6 U6 spliceosomal RNA